GCCUCAAAAUAAUGUGUGACUACCCC
rnacentral:rRNA from 1 species